rnacentral:rRNA from 1 species
GAUGAACGCUGGCGGCGUGCUUAACACAUGCAAGUCGGACGAUGAUGCCCCUUCGGGGGUGGAUUAGUGGCGAACGGGUGAGUAACACGUGAGCAACCUGCCCUUGACUCUGGGAUAAGCCUGGGAAACUGGGUCUAAUACCGGAUAGUACUCCCUGCCGAUUGGUUGGGGGUGGAAAGCCUUGUGCGGUCUUGGAUGGGCUCGCGGCCUAUCAGCUUGUUGGUGGGGUGAUGGCCUACCAAGGCGACGACGGGUAGCCGGCCGGAGAGGGUGACCGGCCACACUGGGACUGAGACACGGCCCAGACUCCUACGGGAGGCAGCAGUGGGGAAUAUUGCACAAUGGGCGGAAGCCUGAUGCAGCGACGCCGCGUGGGGGAUGACGGCCUUCGGGUUGUAAACCCCUUUCGGCAGGGAACAAGUCCUUCGGGGUGAGGGUACCUGCGGAAGAAGCGCCGGCUAACUACGUGCCAGCCGCCGCGGUAAGAC